CGUCGGUCGACCGCCGCGCCAUGGCCGGUCGACCGCGAUGCAGAAAACUGUCUCCUUCGUCGUUUUGCUUGAACUUCUCCAUCGUCGAUCAUGUUCCUCCUGUUCCAACUUUGUUCCUCCUCUCUUCUGAAGUAUAGGGCAUGCUUGAUAGUUAGGCUUCACAUAUCCUAACAUUUGCCUCACCAUCAAACAUCCAUUCACUCCCCAAGUAUACCUGUGAGAUGUUUGAGAUUCAGAAGACCUUAUCCGUCUAUCUCGUGAGUUUUUAUUUCUGCUGCUAAAAUGAUUGCUUAAUCUGAGCAUGUAAAUUUGUGGACUAACUUGGAACAAAAUAGAUUAUUUUUUUCUCUUCUUUUGAGGCGAAUGGGCAAGAAACAGGGAAUAAUUAGGCUCUGGUCUUCCUAGGAUCAACUCAUGAAGUUAAGGAUCAAUUUGAUAAUCCGGCUAUCGUCGUAACAUAGAUUAAUUGUUGUUGUGCACUCAUUUUUAUCAAGAUUACAUAGCCUAUAUGAUUCAUAUCUGACAAAUUUGCACUCGGUAGUACAAGGAUUACGCAACUUAUGGGAUUCAUAUGAUCGUUAAUCUUCUCUUGAUAUAUUUUCUUUUGCAAAUAGGAGAUUGUUUUGUGGUGCAUUUCUUGAUGACCUUAAAUUCUUGAACUUUUUGUCUCUUUUCUUCAAUCUUCUUAUACCCGUCUUUCUUUCUACCUGAGUACUCUAUUUAUCCUACAUAUCUUGCUUGUGACUUUUCUGAGUCUAGUGACUGCCUUUCAGUUUGUUCUCCUAUUAUUCUUUUUUUUUCUCGAUUUUAUAUACAUAAAUUUGUCUUUAUAUUCUCCAGCUGUAGUUUCUUUGGUGUUAUACAUAUUUUCUGCCGGAACUGACUAUUUCUUGUCGUCGAGUGCUAUGCUAAAGCCCAAAGGAUGCAAGGAAUAUGUAAUGUGGAGCACGUCUUUUGAUGUUAUCUGAUCGGCUAAAGUUUACACCUAAAACGCUCUAUCCUGUGCUAUUUGCUAGUGAUCAUAUCUGUUUAGAUGCCUCAGUUUCUGCUGAACUGGCGUUUUACUCCGCGUCACGACUUUGACAUAUUAGUGAUGAUGAGCUUAGUUAUGGAUUUCAAAUUGGUCAUGGCUGCUUGGAUCUUCAUCGGCAUUGUGGCUUUGAUCUUCAUCAGCAUUGCCACCUCGACAACCAUGAUAGUGCAACCGGCAGAUGGAGGGGUGCACGAUAAUCAACCGACACUGGUUAAUACUAGUAUUCUACGGGUUAUCCAAUCCUUUUGGUUUUUGAUCUUCAGGGGACUAUUUUGAAUGUUUUUUCCACCUUUGGCAUCAGAAGUGUAACUAAUACAGGUAAUCGUCCAGCUUACCAAAAGGAUUGGAUAACUCGUAGUAUACUAGUACUAACCAGUGUCGGUUGAUUAUCGUGCACCACUCCAUCUGUCGGUUGCACUAUCAUGAUUGUCGAGGUGACAAUGGUGAUGAAGAUCAAAGCCACAAUGCCGAUGAAGAUCCAAGCGGCCAUGACCAAUUUGAAAUCCAUAACUGAGCUCAUCAUCACUAAAUUUAUGAGAAUUAUUCAAGAUUGAUGCUGCAGACUACAUGAUAUCCAUUUGUGGAAAUGUGGCUUUAAGAGAGCUUUCUUCCCCUGGGAAGAGUGGAAGCGUUUUUUUUCUUUCGCAAGAUGACCGGUUCAUGAUUAAAACCCUCCGUAAAUCUGAAGUGAAGGUGCUACUGCGGAUGCUUCCAAACUAUCACCAUCAUGUGCACACAUAUGAGAACACACUUAUAACUAAAUUCUUUGGUUUGCAAAGAGUGAUACCCUCUAGUGGUCAAAAGAACUGAGGAUCCAUAUAAGGUUUGACUUGAAAGGGUCAUCACUGGGCUUUCUUCAAAAAAUGCUGAAAUAGAUGAGAAUACAACUCUCAAAGAUUUGGAUCUAGACUAUUCUUUAUAUUUGGAACCUUCUCGGAGAGAUGCUCUUUUGAAGCAGAUUGAGAUUGAUAGUAAAUUCUUGGAAACACAGCAUAUAAUGGACUAUAGCCUAUUGUUAGGUGUGCAUUAUCGAGCUCCACAACAUCUGCGAACUGGUGUAUAUAUCUCUCCAUCGAAGCCUGACAGCAGAGGGACUUUCAAUCCUUUCAGAAGGUGAUCAAUACGUCCUUCUAAUAACCGUCUUGCAUCUUUCCUCGUGAGCAUGAAUUAUAUCAGGCGAUUUCUUGCCUCUAAAAGCUCGGAAAGCAUGCUGAAUUGAUCGCUUGUCUGACCUUGAGAUGCAAACUUUUCAGCAGAUUUUUCUAUAUAAGAACCCCAAUUUGUUGUAGCAUCAAGUGUUUCAGGAAUUAUAUAGCUCAUUUGCGGUACAUAUUCUGAA